rnacentral:lncRNA from 10 species
GUCCAAAACCACUUGAUAGGCAACAUACAUCAAUACGAUUCUCAGGUUGGUAGGUGCAGCCCAUGAACAAAAUUAAACAUAAUGUUUUCAUGCAUUACAUGGUCUCUUCUGCAACUUCUUGGCAUUUUUUAUGUGGAAUACGUACUGAUAUACUAAAAUAAAAACUACAUGUAUACACAUAGUUUAACAUUAUAAUAUAGUUUAGUAUUAAUAGUACAGUUUAAUAUUUCUUUUUAAAAAAUUCUUUAUGUCCAUAGGUUAUUGGGGAACAGAUGGUGUUUGGUUACAUGCAUAAGUUCUUUAAUAUUUCUUUCAGACAUAUUUAUGAUGAAUGUUAAAAAGAAAAAUACGGCUAGCAUUGAUUUCUUAAAACAGAAUAUCUAAUAACGUACUUUAGAACGGUUUAAAAAAUGUUGAUCUGGGAAAAUUCUGGAGCAUGAACUGCCAUUUGGACAAACUUCAGGGAUGUGCUUCAAAUGGAACAAGACCUCCAGAGUUAGCCCUAGGGCACCAAAGACUUUGGAAAUUCCACAGGGCUAUGGACUUAAAGUACCCCUGGAUACAUCCAAAAAUAGCCAAAGGCAUCGAAUGAGCAUUUCCAACUCUUCCACUAUUUUCUCAACAAGAAACCUUUCUCUCCAGCUGGGCAGAUACAUAACAUGCUCAUUUUCAUAUUGCCACACUAUUUCCAACCCAAUCCAAAUAGAAAUAUACUUACUGCCUCUUAUUUCUCUCUAUUGAGUUUGGUUUUAUCCAUGUUUUCUUUCUUUCUCUCUCUUUUUUUUUUUUUCCUCAGGAUCUCACUCUGUUGCCCAGGCUGCCUCCCCGGGCUCAAGCGAUGAUCCCAUCUCUGAGAGGCAGGAACCACAAGCUUCCUGAACUGUGGCAGCCAUCAUUAAGUGACCACAG